GAGUAAAAGAAAACUCCAAAGUCAAGCUGGGAGCAUUCUGUCCUUACACAAGCCCCACGCUAAAACUUCUGCAAUUGCUACUGUGAGAAAUGAAACCAAGUCUCUUCUAACACAGCUCAUCUUCUGUGCAGAGGUAGAGCCUCCUGAGGAAACAACUGGACUAAACUGUCUCUUGCUGCUGUCAGCGGUGUGGGAUCAGACGUGGGCAAUGUGAACUGGUGCUCCUGGCAGAAAGAGACCUGUCUUAUUUCCCUUUAAAAUCAAGAUGUCACAACAAACAGAAAGCCUGGGGGAGGAGCGGAAUGCCAAAUGCAGUGAAUGUGACAGAUUUGGUACAAGCUCCCUUCAGUCAUUUUGGAAUUAAACUCCUUUUUAACCUAGAGUAA
rnacentral:lncRNA from 1 species